rnacentral:rRNA from 1 species
AGCGAACGCUGGCGGCAGGCCUAACACAUGCAAGUCGAACGAACUCUUCGGAGUUAGUGGCGGACGGGUGAGUAACACGUGGGAACGUGCCUUUAGGUUCGGAAUAACUCAGGGAAACUUGUGCUAAUACCGAAUGUGCCCUUCGGGGGAAAGAUUUAUCGCCUUUAGAGCGGCCCGCGUCUGAUUAGCUAGUUGGUGAGGUAAAGGCUCACCAAGGCGACGAUCAGUAGCUGGUCUGAGAGGAUGAUCAGCCACAUUGGGACUGAGACACGGCCCAAACUCCUACGGGAGGCAGCAGUGGGGAAUCUUGCGCAAUGGGCGAAAGCCUGACGCAGCCAUGCCGCGUGAAUGAUGAAGGUCUUAGGAUUGUAAAAUACUUUCACCGGGGACGAUAAUGACGGUACCCGGAGAAGAAGCCCCGGCUAACUUCGUG